GCCGGAUGCAGUGGCUCAUGCCUGUAAUCCCAGCACUUUGCGAGGCCGAGGCGGGCAAAUCACCUGAGGUCAGGAGUUCGAGACCAGCCUGGCCAACAUGGUGAAAUCCUGUCUCU
rnacentral:sRNA from 1 species